AGGCCUAACACAUGCAAGUCGAGCGGUAACAGGGGUAGCUUGCUACCCGCUGACGAGCGGCGGACUGGUGAGUAAUGCUUAGGAAUCUGCCUGGUAGAGGGGGAUAGCCCGGGGAAACCCGGAUUAAUACCGCAUACGCCCUACGGGGGAAAGCAGGGGAUCUUCGGACCUUGCGCUAUUAGAUGAGCCUAAGUCGGAUUAGCUAGUUGGUGGGGUAAAGGCCUACCAAGGCGACGAUCCGUAGCUGGUCUGAGAGGAUGAUCAGCCACAUCGGGACUGAGACACGGCCCGAACUCCUACGGGAGGCAGCAGUGGGGAAUAUUGGACAAUGGGGGAAACCCUGAUCCAGCCAUGCCGCGUGUGUGAAGAAGGCUUUCGGGUUGUAAAGCACUUUCAGUGAGGAGGAAGGCCUUGUCGCUAAUAUCGGCAAGGAUUGACGUUACUCACAGAAGAAGCACCG
rnacentral:rRNA from 1 species